UAUUUCAGGUUGGGUCGGGCUUGGGCAAGCAUAAAGUAUGUUAAUAUCAUGCUUAGGCCCAACCUGACCCG
rfam:Gossypium raimondii Chr09_contig_367, whole genome shotgun sequence.